GGUCUGUUCACCUAGCUGGUUAGGCUUCCCGCUUUAGCGGGAUGCAUGAGUUCGAAUCUCAUACAGACUACCA
rnacentral:tRNA from 1 species